UCUCCCAAUAUCUCUUUGCAUUCAUCUCUCUUAUUUUUCUUGCCAGGCCAAUUUCUCCCAGCAGAGCACGUUCUGCUCCGGAGGCGAGUCCCUUGCCGCAGGUGGAGCUCAGGCGGGCGAGCCACUGCAGCAGCGGCGAGCUCUUCUUCCUCGCCCCUCGGAGCCCGAUCUACAGCUCGCAUGAAGGAGGCGUCCCUGCGACCGGAGGACUUGCAGGUUCUCUCUCACCCUCCCUCCCUCUCCCCCUCUCUCAAAGGAACUCUGCAGGGAGGAGAGCAGGUCGCCACUCGAUCUGGUGUAGUACCUCUCCCCCCUCAAGGCUGAGGUAAAAGUGGAGGUACCCUAGAAAAUCCCAUCUUUGUUUCUGCAGAUCCAUUUGUAAAUUUGCCUACAAGGUGUUUGGUGAAAGUCCUUGCUGAUUAAGAUGAUUGUAUGAACUAUUUAAGGAAAAGCUAAUGUACCAGGUGGUGGCUUUCAGAUUUGAAAGAGCGAGAAGCGUUGUAGCUAGGUUGUUUGGUGAAGAUGAGGUGACUCUCACAAUGCGUCUGUUGUGCUUGAGGUUGGGUUGUAUCUUCUUCUCCCUUGCCUGGGACCACUAGCCUCAUCUUGCCGAUGCCGCCAUCCUUUCCCACUUGGUUGGGACGAAUGUCAUGAGAUUCAUCGUGCUUGAGAGGUGGAGAUGGAAAUGAAGUCGUUUUUACCGGUGCAUGUGACAAGAGUAAGAGAAGAGCGAAGUUGGAAAAUGGGAUAAGAACAUAUGUCUGCAUCCCUGUCAUUUCAGAUUUAAACACUUCACUGGAAGAG